GAUAAAUUUUUACUGAGAGUCGUAUAGGAAUCUAUAAUCUAGUACUUUCGAAAAUACGCCGAGAGUAUUCCUGAUGGUGAAACGAGCGUUGCUUCAUCGAACGCAGCUAAAGAAAACAACAUCUAUGUAGUUGGUGGUACGAUGCCUGAAAUAGAGGGCGAUAAAUUGUACAAUACCUGUACUAUUUGGGGUCCCGAUGGAACUUUGAUAGCAAAACACCGAAAGGUACAUCUAUUCGACAUCGACAUUCCUAAUAAGAUUACUUUUCGAGAGAGUGAUUCACUCAGUCCUGGUAACUCCCUAACGACGUUCGACGUGAAGGGCUGCAAAAUAGGUAUUGGCAUUUGCUAUGAUAUUAGAUUCGAGGAAAUGGCACGCAUUUAUCGUAACAAAGGUUGCCAAAUGCUGAUAUAUCCAGCGGCAUUCAAUAUGACCACUGGACCACUGCACUGGUCAUUACUUAAGCGUUCCAGAGCGAAUGAUAAUCAAUUAUACGUUGCCUGCAUAUCAUCGGCUCGUGUUCCUUCAGCAAGUUACGUCGCAUGGGGGCAUACACAGUUGACCAAUCCCUGGGGAAAGAUUCUUUACGAUUUGGAAACUCAAGAGAAUAUGGCAGUCACCGAUAUCAAAAAAAAAAAAAAAAAAAAAAAAAAAUGAGGCAUACUAUAUAAGAUUGUCAUCGAUUUAAAAUCAAAGUAUGAAAAGGAUACCCUGGAGAGAGUAAAACACAGAAUCAUUCCAACUAAACAUUCAGAUCGUACCGACACCUAGCUUCAACAUCUUCAAUAUCGAGGAGAUUCAAACUUUACAAAUAAAUGUAAAUUGCGAUGUAAAACAAAGCGAUGUAAAAAGGGAAAAAGGAGGAAAGAAGGAACAGGGAAGUAAAGAGAAGAAACGAAUUUUUCAUUUUCUCGAAACUGGAUCAAGUUUCAGGAAGACCAUCCAAGUAAUUGAUGUCCUCUGUAAUUAUUUGUUAAUCAUGCGCGGAAUCAGAACGAUUCGACCUCGUUCCAAAGCAAAUCGUUACUAGAGUAGAGACGGGAAUUAAUAAUUCGUGUCAAUUGUUCGAUCGUGUUCACAAAUUCAAAUGCGGUUGAGUGGCGGAAACCAUUUAUAACACGUCCCAUACAGCGUAGAUCGCAUACACGUCUUAGGAUGUAUUUUUGGUACUUAUAUAUACUCUAUAUAUAUAUUCUUACCCUAUAUAUACUUAUAUGUACUCUAUAUAUAUUCUCUAUCUUAGAUAUACCAUAAAAUAUUUCGUGAAAUCGCG